AUUCUCUUCGGAGAAGAGCGGCGGACGGGUGAGUAACGCGUGGGUAACCUGCCCUGUACACACGGAUAACAUACCGAAAGGUAUGCUAAUACGGGAUGAAAUGUUUUGAUCGCAUGGUCGAAAUAUCAAAGCUCCGGCGGUACAGGAUGGACCCGCGUCUGAUUAGCUAGUUGGUAAGGUAAUGGCUUACCAAGGCGACGAUCAGUAGCCGACCUGAGAGGGUGAUCGGCCACAUUGGAACUGAGACACGGUCCAAACUCCUACGGGAGGCAGCAGUGGGGAAUAUUGCACAAUGGGCGAAAGCCUGAUGCAGCAACGCCGCGUGAGCGAUGAAGGCCUUCGGGUCGUAAAGCUCUGUCCUCAAGGAAGAUAAUGACGGUACUUGAGGAGGAAGCCCCGGCUAACUACGUGCCAGCAGCCGCGGUAAUACGUAGGGGGCUAGCGUUACCCGGAAUUACUGGGCGUAAAGGGUGCGUAGGUGGUUUCUUAAGUCAGAGGUGAAAGGCUACGGCUCAACCGUAGUAAGCCUUUGAAACUGAGAGACUUGAGUGCAGGAGAGGAGAGUAGAAUUCCUAGUGUAGCGGUGAAAUGCGUAGAUAUUAGGAGGAAUACCAGUUGCGAAGGCGGCUCUCUGGACUGUAACUGACACUGAGGCACGAAAGCGUGGGGAGCAAACAGGAUUAGAUACCCUGGUAGUCCACGCCGUAAACGAUGAGUACUAGCUGUCGGAGGUUACCCCCUUCGGUGGCGCAGCUAACGCAUUAAGUACUCCGCCUGGGAAGUACGCUCGCAAGAGUGAAA
rnacentral:rRNA from 1 species